rnacentral:rRNA from 1 species
AGCGAACGCUGGCGGCAGGCCUAACACAUGCAAGUCGAACGAACCCUUCGGGGUUAGUGGCGGACGGGUGAGUAACACGUGGGAACGUGCCUUUAGGUUCGGAAUAACUCAGGGAAACUUGUGCUAAUACCGAAUGUGCCCUUCGGGGGAAAGAUUUAUCGCCUUUAGAGCGGCCCGCGUCUGAUUAGCUAGUUGGUGAGGUAAAGGCUCACCAAGGCUACGAUCAGUAGCUGGUCUGAGAGGAUGACCAGCCACAUUGGGACUGAGACACGGCCCAAACUCCUACGGGAGGCAGCAGUGGGGAAUCUUGCGCAAUGGGCGAAAGCCUGAUGCAGCAAUGCCGCGUGGGUGAUGAAGGCCUUAGGAUUGUAAAAUUCUUUUACCGGGGAUGAUAAUGACAGUAGCAGGAGAAUAAGCCCCGGCUAACUUCGUGCCAGCCGCCGCGGUAACAC